rnacentral:sRNA from 1 species
ACCCAGGUAGUGAGCUAAAUACCUACUAAAUAGGUCAAGGAGAGCCUCUGGAUGACUAUGUGAAUACCCAGGGGGCUUCACUGUUCAGUGUCACUAAGAAGCAGCUGGGGGCAGGAAGCAGAGAAGAAUGUGCAGCAAAAUGUGAGGAGGACAAAGAAUUCACCUGCAGGGCAUUCCAAUAUCACAGUAAAGAGCAACAACGUGUGAUAAUGGCUGAAAACAGGAAGUCCUGUUUUCAUUAGGAAAACAGGAAGUCCUCCAUAAUCAUUAGGACGAGAGAUGUAGUGUUAUUUGAAAAGAAAGUGUAUCUUUCAGAGUGCAAGACUGGGAAUGGAAAGAACUACAGAGGGACAAUGUCCAAAACAAAAAAUGGCAUCACCUGUCAAAAAUGGAGUUCCACUUCUCCCCGCAGACCUAGGUAAGACUUUCCCUUUCAUCUUUGUGUUCAUCUACUGUAAAGUUGUCCCUCUGUGUCUGUGAGGGAUUGGUUCCAGGACCCCUGUGGCUACCAAAAUCCAUGCUUCUCAAGUCCCUUAUGUAAAAUGGUGCAGUAUUUGCAUAUAACCUACAUACCUUCUCUUGUGCAAUCCCUAAUAUAAUGUAAAUGCUAUGUAAUCGUUGUUAUGCUGUAUUGUUUUUAUUUGUAUUAUGUUUUAUUGUCAUAUUGUUAUUUUCUCUCAUCUUUUUCAAGUCUUUUCCAUCCACAGUUGGUUGAAUUUGUGGAUGUGGAACCCAUGGAUACAGAGGGCCAACUGUAUUUAGGAUAAUUUCAUCACUUUUAAUUCAAACCAGAAUAUGU